rnacentral:snRNA from 1 species
AAAUUUACCUUGCUGGGAGGUUUCCGCGAUCACGAAGGCGGCACCUUCACGGUGAGACCGGCACAUUGCACUUUCGGUCCGGUUGACCUGUGUGGCUACCUCGAGUUGGGUAGGCCAGCAGCACAAUUUUUGCGUUAGGGGCUGCGUUCGCGCUCCCCCGU